rnacentral:rRNA from 1 species
CCCGCCGGCGACCGGCGAACGGGUGAGUAACACGUAUGCAACCUGGCCGCCACAGGGGGAUAACCCGCGGAAACGCGGCCUAAUACCCCGUGACGCCACCGGAGGGCAUCCUCCGGUGGCCAAAGGAGCGAUCCGGUGGCGGAUGGGCAUGCGGCGCAUUAGCUAGACGGCGGGGUGACGGCCCACCGUGGCGACGAUGCGUAGGGGUUCUGAGAGGAAGGCCCCCCACACUGGGACUGAGACACGGCCCAGACUCCUACGGGAGGCAGCAG